rnacentral:misc_RNA from 1 species
CACCACUGCUGCCACCAUCGCUCCUG